rnacentral:rRNA from 1 species
GAUGAAUGCUGGCGGCGUGCCUAACACAUGCAAGUCGAGCGGCAGCGAGGGGUGCUUGCACCCUGUCGGCGAGCGGCGAACGGCUGAGUAACGCGUAGGAAUUUGCCCCAAAGUGAGGAAUAACUGCCCGAAAGGGUAGCUAAUGCCGCAUAUGGUCUUCGGAUUAAAGGAUUUAUCCGCUUUGGGAGAAGCCUGCGUUGGAUUAGGUUGUUGGUAGGGUAAUGGCCUACCAAGCCGACGAUCCAUAGCUGGUCUGAGAGGAUGAUCAGCCAGACUGGAACUGAGACACGGUCCAGACUCCUACGGGAGGCAGCAGUGAGGAAUCUUCCACAAUGGGCGAAAGCCUGAUGGAGCAACGCCGCGUGAAGGAUGAAGGCCUUCGGGUUGUAAGCUUCUUUUAUGAGUGAAGAAUAUGACGGUAACUCAUGAAUAAGCACCGGCUAACUACGUG